GUUUUUCUUCCCAGUAUAUCCCCAACAUUUAACAACAGGUUAAUACUUAAAUAUAGUAGAUUCUCAAUAAAUAUGUGUUGAUUAAAUAAAUAAACCAAUUUAAUUCAAGACAAGUAAACGGACACUUUCAAGGAAGCAUUUUAAAGCUAUAGGGGAGAGAAAAGUGGCCUGGGAACUCAAAUAUGCGGCCCUCACCCCUACUAGGGAAGCAGAAGGAGGGAGCAUCCCGUCCAAAGCUUCCCAAGCGGCGCCGGACUGCGUGCUGCGGCUGUGGGGGUAGAAGUCUUCAGAUAAAAGAUGGGGAAAACAGACCAAAGCAAGUCUCGCUGGCCAGUGACACUCCAGGAGCAUGGCCCAUGGAAGGAUCCAAGGCUGAGGGAUCUGGGGUAGCCCCACAGAGAUACUCUGCCAAAAUCCAGUCACGAGAAGGAGGGAGGAGGCGAGGAACGAAAAUGAGAUUUGGUUUAGGCCGGAAGAACGGGCUGCGCCAACAACGAGAAAAUAAAGUGGCGAGCUGGGAAGGGUGUAGCGCGGGCUAGAAGGGCGGGAAACUUGAGAACCACGGGCGCGGGAGCCUGGCGGGGACGCAAGCCCGGAACUGGCGGAGGGGUGGGCAGGCGCAUGCGCGCGCGCAGCUGAAACGCCGGCUGAUGAAACUGACAAAGGCGAGAGCGCGCAGCAGCCCACAGCAGCCGAGUUCGCGCCGCCGGUAGGUGCUGCCAUGCCAGGGGGCGGGAUCGUGGAGCGCCUCGCAGAACCGCACGAAAGCAAAAACAAAGCCAUCUCUCCGGAGCAGAAAUAGAACAGACGUGGCCGGGGAAAGCCAAAUAUUUGUGAGAUGAUGUGAACAAAGGGGGAAAAGUCAAUCCAGGGAAGUUUGAGUUUCUGGUUGGAGGCUUCAGCGGCUCUGAUCGCUGGAUACUUUAAGAGAACAUCCUUUGCCCCCGCUCUCCCUCUCUCCCCGAAGAAAAAUAAAUCCUUGGCAAAAUGAGACUUGACGGCAUGAAAAGAAGGUCUCCAGACUGUCCCAGCUGGCGCGGGCGGGGCCGGGGCCGAGGUGCCGCUUGGUGACACUGCAGCCGCGGCUCAGCACUGUCACCCAGAAAGGCCCGCCGACGUCUGUAUGCAGGGAACGUGGCUCUUAGCAGAGCCUGGACAGGCGCAGGGCCAAGGAAGUCUUUGUUUUUGUUUCUUUCUCUAGCCCUUCCUGCCAAUACAUCAGGGAUAUAACUCCUUGGUGUUUCUGCCUUACAAUCGCUCCUUAUACCCCACCCAGAUCCUCAGCACUGCAGCUCCCACUGCCACUGCCCGCUGUGAGUCACCUCCCCCUCUCCCUCCCUCUCUCAACCUCCCCGCUCACCCCCAUCUAUGUAAAAAAGCCAUAAAGCCUCUCUCCAAUCGCUUUCUCGGAGGGAGUUUUUGCAACCCCCACAACACAGGUUGAUUGGAAAGGUCUCUCUCCCGGAUAACAACAAUUCAAUGUGCCUUGACAUUUUAAUAGCCUGCCGUCCUGGUGAACACAAUCGAGCAAGGCAGUGAAGCAAACAUCAUUAGGUGGCUGGACUCAGACACAUCACGCUCCAGUUUGGGUUCCAAGGUGCUUCUCUCUGGAUUUUCACCUGCCUUGCCAAAAAUGAUUGAUUACGCUGGGCCAACUGGGUGUCCGGCAAUACCCAACAAAUGACUUUGGCCCCUAACAGCAGGUCUUGGCCAGACAGAAAUCAAUAUUUCACCAUUAAAAUCUAUCAAAGAAGAGUUAAGGCACCAUCUGUCCCUGCCGCCUCUCUAUGGUGUGUGAACAUUAAAUCCGACACUUGUACUACAUGGGUAAUCAAUAUAUAGUGGUUCACAGAUCAUUUGUGGUUCCCUUUUAGCAGUGAUGGAUGUCUGGAAUCGUUGUGAUUCAUUUUGUCAGACCAUUAAACAAGAUUCUGUCCAGUU
rnacentral:lncRNA from 1 species